UACGUAGGUGGCGAGCGUUAUCCGGAAUUACUGGGCGUAAAGGGUGUGUAGGCGGGACUGCAAGUCAGAUGUGAAAAUUACGGGCUUAACCUGUAAACUGCAUUUGAAACUGUGGUUCUUGAGAGCCGGAGGGGUAAAUGGAAUUCCCAGUGUAGCGGUGAAAUGCGUAGAUAUUGGGAGGAACACCAGUGGCGAAGGCGAUUUACUGGACGGCAACUGACGCUGAGACACGAAAGUGUGGGGAGCAAACAGG
rnacentral:rRNA from 1 species